UAAGGUGGAACAGAGUUAUUUUUAAUAUCGGUUUUGCAGAAACUUCCAGAUUAAAACAGCAGAUGGAGUUCAGUGCUAGCAACUCUCUGCAAUACUGUUUCAACACAUCCGUGGCAUCUACUAUAAGAAAAGCUGACUCGAAACGUGCAAUCAAUUUUACUCACAAAAGGCACCACAGAAGAGGGUUGCGGUGCAUUGAAGUUUGACAACCCCUGCUCUAGAAUAUCCUAUCACAGUUGCUGCCCUUGACAACCAGAUGAAAGUGCUGAAAGAAGAUUAAAACCAUAUGAUCUUGUCCAUGUCAUUCUGAGACCAGCUUACUACAGCACAAUAUAUUAUUCCAGUAGUGAUCUUAAGAAAGAAGGAAAAACAAGUAGAAAGACAACUGGGGCUUGGGAGAAGUAUUAUCUUUACUUUUCCUCCCCCCAUUCUUCACCCCAAUGAGUAUAUAAUGCUUUACCUCACAAUAAAAAGAAAAGUGUCCAACUCAUAAACAAUGAACAUGUUAUUUAUUACAUUUCUCAUUACUAACAUUUGUUUUCCAUUAGAAAUGUACUUGUCAUAAGGCACCCCCUGCCUGAAGUGCCCUCUGCUUGCAGGCUUCAGGGUGACAGGUGUGCCUGCCUCAGUUUCCCCUCUGAGAUUUUCCUGAAACAAUCCAAGCAGUCUUUCUCAGUGCAAAUAACCCUUAUGGAGUUAAUUUAUUACAGAAAAAACCCUACGCACAUAACAAAUCCCUUCACCAUAAUCCAGGGAAUACAUCAAAUACAGCCUCAGCUUUCCAACACAGCCUCCUCUAGCCCUCCGGCUCCAGUUCUCUAGCUUUGAAACAUAGCAGGUAUCUCCAUCUGCUGCUCUGAGUCUUCAGCCCUCUCUAUCCUUAGCUCAGAAAGGACAGCUGGCUAGCACCUCAACUGGCUUUCAAAUAAUCCCUCCCCUCUUCCCAGGGAAGGAUUGCAGAGAGUUUUCUGCUCUCUGCAGCCCUCCCCAGAGACCCCAUCCAGCAGUUUCCUCACUGACUCUUUCACCAGAACUCUCUUUCCUGACUCCCUUCAGGGACCUUCCCGCUCUCAAUUUUCCCCUGAUGCUUUAUAGGCCCCAGGUCCUGCUAUACCUUCUUAAUGGGCCAAACUGGCAGCAACUAUUCAGGCACCAGGGAACCUGGACCUGCUUCAUUUAAAGGAGUCAGUCACUCUCUGACACUGUUUUCAUUUGGUCAUGACUUACCAACAUUUCACCUUUUCCACAGAAAUUUUCCAUACUCUGAUCUGUUCAAAAUCAAUUUUUAAAAAGUUUAAGCAACAACCAACAGCACAUUUGAGCUGACAGGGUUGAAAUGGUUUUCUACCACUGUAAAACACUGUUGCAAUCUUUUUCUCCAGAAGGGAAACUCAGAAGACUGAACUCUGAAACUUGAUAUGUACACAAUCUAUAAUAAAAGUAGUACAUGGCUUUCCAAAAAUAUUAACAGUUUAGCUAGUUAACAAAGUUGGUAAUGUCUAUGUGCCUGGACAGGCUCUGAGAACCUUCACUAGUCACAGGCACUGCAGAACUUAAAAUCCCCUUCUACUCUCUGGCUACUCCUACCCUGCACAUUAGAAUUUUUUGUUAUGCGGUUUCUUUAAAAAGUCAGUCAACAGUGAGGCAAUAUACUUUUUAUGACAGUUCGCAGUCCCUUACUCAUUACCUUUCAACUGAAAACUGAUCAAGGAAUUUUACUCAAAUUCUCAAAAAAAAAUCUGGACAGUCCAAACAUGGAAAAAUGUGGAGACCACUAGGAAAUGCUAAAGACAGGUAUAAGUAUUUGGAAACAGGAGGUCACAAUAGAAACUCUAUGUGCUAUCUGCAUCCUCGAUAAUAAAAUACUGUAAAACUGUAUCCAAAGGAGGAAAUAUGUUUAGAUAUAUAGUAUAUCCACAGUCAACACGACUGUUUAUAGUUUUUUUAAUAAAUGUAUUUCUAUAAAGCAAGUUUUAGUUACUAAGGCAACAGCCCACAAGCUGAAGGUAAAUUCUACCUCAGAAUUCUUUUGCUUCUGCAGCAGUCCACCACUGAAUUCAGUGACAGACUGGAAAUUAGGCUUCAAAUCUUCCUUAAUAAGGAAGAUUAUACCAAAUUUAAUAUCUGACUAACGUAAAGUAUAACUGUGUUAUUUUGAUGUGUCAACACUACGCUGCCCUACCUGCAAUUUUCAGUGUUUCACGAAUGUUAGUGUUGACAACAUAAAUGCAUCUUAUAUAACUACUCAAUUCCCUCCAUGACAAAUUCAGAUUCUACAUGAAACAAGCUUAAGUAUUAAAAGCUUAUGUUUAAUUUGACUUUUCAAAUUACUGCUCUAAUAGACAACCAAAGUGACCAGAUUACAAAAGUAAGUCCAUUUGCCAGAAAAACCUUAGAUCAUCACCAGCAUUCUGAUGGGACAGCGGCAAUCUGUCUAUUAGCUGCAGCCCAAUGCAAUUAAGAACUUUAUAUGCUGUAAUUAACAUGCAGACUAGCACUUGAAAGCAAAUAUGUAGCUAAUGUAGAGCAUGAGGCACUCAUGUUUGUGUUCACAGCAGGAAAUUGUACUUGAGAUUAGUUGUGCAUUAUUCAGCCAAACUUUACAGGUGGUUUUCAAGCAUAGCUCCCCAACCCGCCUUCUACUUGUAAAUUUAAAGCUAAAUUAUUGCAUAAUGUGACAAAGACAUGAAUUACAAUGGCAAGGUCUGCAAAGUAAUUCUCUCAAAUUGACUGCUUGUACAUGAAGAAGUUCUUAUUUUGUAUAGUAUUAAAUCAAAGUUCAGAGCUUUCCCUCUGCAAUGACCACUGUCAUACUUUCUGUCCCUUUCAUGUUAACAUUUUCACCCUGAUAUAGUUUACCAACGUAAACAAGGUUAUAUAGGGCUGCAGGUUCAGGCAGCAGCCCACCAGCAUGAGCUUCUUUUAUCUACUUUUGUGGCCCUCAGUUUAGUCCCACCAUACCAAAAGAAUUCUGGUGAAUGGAACAAUAGGGCAGGGGGAGAUCAGAGCUACAAGACAAGGGAGUGAAAGCAAGUCAUGUGAAAGAACAGAGGAAAAAAUAUUUUUAAAGUGACAACAGAAAAAAAAAGAAAAAAAGAAAAACCGACAAAAAAUCUGAGCAGCUACAGCUAUAAUGGAAGGAUAUAAUACAAGGAACCUGGAGUCAGUAAAAGGGGCAAUGUGUCAAUCCAUCCCAAAAGGGGCCUGGACAAACACAAUUAGGAACAAUUGACAAGAAUGCCCUGGUACACAGACCAACAGUACACUAAUGACUCCACAGUUAUUGAUUGUUAUGUAUCUUUGCUACAUCUGAAAGCUGUUACGGGACAUAGACCAAUAAAUUCCAGAAAGUUUAACGUCCAAAAAUCAUGCAUUUCUUCAAAGAGUCUAAAUUUACAUUCAUAAGAACAGGAUAUUAAUUCAGGAGUCUUGACCAAAUUCAACUCACAUAAUUACAUUCUACCUACCUAAAAUUUCCCCUAUAAUUUCAUUUGGAAAAAUGUAUUUUUUACUUCCUGUCCUACAUUUCCUAACUUGUUGAGGAGGGCCACUGAGCACUGCUAACUGAAACUUUUCAUCUCAGAGAUGCUUGUGUUCCAGAGGUGGAUGAAGUGAUUUUUCUGCAUAGUUGCCUAUCAGUUUCAAAAUGUAAAGUGCUUUGGGACGAAAGUACUAAAUAUAAAUGGAAGAUCUUUAUUAAAAGAAAUUUAAGUCUAUCAUAUGUGAAAAAGUUCCUCCUCUACCUUGGUGGGUCUUGCGCUUAUUGGCAGAUUUGCUCACCUUGGAGCUUCACAGCGGCCCUCAGUUUGGCCGUUUUCGUGAACCCACAGUCCAGGACAACUCCUCCUGUGUCUCACCAGAAGUUAGGAGGUUUGGGGGGAACCUGGGCCCGCCCUCUACUUCGGGUUCCAGCUCAGGGCCCUGUGGAAUGUAGCUGUCUAGAGUGCCUCCUGGAAUAGCUGUGCGACAGCUAAAACUCCCUGGGCUACCUCCCCAUGGCCUCCUCCCAACAACUUCUUUAUCCUCACCAUAGGACCUUCCUCCUGGUGUCUGAUAAUGCUUGUACUCCUCAGUUCUCCAACAGUAGGCGUUCUCACUCUCCGCUCCUAGCGCCUCUUGCUCUCCGCUCCUCACACGCGCACCACAAACUGAAGUGAGCUCCUUUUUAAACCCAGGUGCCCUGAUUAGCCUGCUUUAAUUGAUUCUAGCAGCUUCUUGAUUGGCUGCAGGUGUUCUAAUCAGCCUGUCUGUCUUAAUUGUCUCCAGAAGGUUCCUGAUUGUUCUGGAACCUUCCCUGUUACCUUACCCAGGGAAAAGGGACCGACUUAACCUGGGGCUAAUAUAUCUACCUUCUAUUACUCUCCUGUAGCCAUCCAGCCGGACCCUGUCACACAUAUUAAUCUUAACUUCUAUCAAAAUAUUUGCUUAUUUUACGACUGAAGUUAACAUAAAAGAGCUAAAUCUUACCCAGCCUCCAGCAAGUGCCAUUUUGUAGGACAGAAAGCAAAGUGAGCUAAGUCCUAUCUUCUCACAAACACAGACACGCAUGCCUGCCAAGUUCUCAUCACAGACCCCAUGUUUGCAGCAGGCUGUCUUCCACAAUCGAUGCCCCUUCCUACCCAAACAGGAAGCUUCUCUCCUGAAGAGCCAGAAUUCCAGCUGACAUCACCCCUGAAUUCUGCAAAGCCAUUGCCUACCUUUCUCUCCACAACAAGUACAUAUAGCUACAUCACCCUACACACACAACUGCUCCCCAACUGCAGCAUGUGUGAGGUGGGAUUCAAGUUUAAGCAUAAUAAGUUUUCGGCCUCAGUGGGGAAGGGACAGCAGCUCUGAAAUACAGAGAUGUACACUUUGAGAAAGACUGAGGUGUGGCCAGAACAGUAAGGGAGGGAGGUGGUGGUGAACAGGUAAGACCACCAAUUUUGCUCUGUCUGGUAAGACAGAAGUUGCUUGGAGAGAUGGUUAGAGUUAUCCACAGCUAUGAGAAGCAGAGCAGUCAACGCAAAGUGAACAGUCAGAUUAAAACCUAUUUGUUCAACAGUUUCACAGACCACUUUGAUGUAUAAAAAUGUCCUCCUCUGAUGAGGCUAAAUGGAGAAAGACUGCAAAUUUAGAUGUUAUGGUCUGCAUAGAUACUAUUCCUUUUCCUGUUACUUUAGACAUUCUAAAUUUAAAAAAAAAGUAGGAACCUCUGUUAUCUCCAUCUGUCAUCCCACUUCACAGACAACCUUCUUUCUGCUGUACGUGUCCCAGAGGAUAGACAGGAACUGUUUUGGCAACUGUAAUUUAAUUUAACAGGAAAAGAGAGAAUAAUUUCUAUUAAGGGUAUGUUUCCACUGCAGAGUUAACCUGCAUGACUGGUCCAUGGUUGUGAGCAUCCGGGUUGACCUAGCCUGGGUGUGAGCAGCCACAUUGAAAAGCCGUAUUUCAAUUCCUCCAUCCACACUGGCAUUGCACUCACUGAAGUGUGGUGUUGGCACUUGAGGGGCAUAGCCCAUGGCUCUUAGAACUGUUGUAAGGCUAGCCACUCUAGAAUUCUCUUAGUGAACUGUGGCAGAACUUUGUCCUUCUGGGCACAAGGGGGAAUUGGGGGAAGGCACUGAAGGACUAUCAGCACUCAAAUGGUUUAGCCUUCUUGCUUACUGCAAAAUGGGCAGUUUAUCAAUCAGUUCAAGUGUAAGGAGCAUGCAGGCUUUAGCUUAUACCCAGGAUAGGCUAGCUAGCGCAGUUUAAAAGCAGCAAACUUGGGUCAGAGGUUGUGUGUGUGGACAGGAGCUGGGUUAGGCACAACACCCUAGUAAGAGUCCAGUUUAAUUAAACUUCACUCCUACCAGGUAAAAAUGCAAUGGAAAUCUGUGCUCUAUAAUUCAACAA